rnacentral:rRNA from 1 species
UACGUAGGGUGCAAGCGUUGUCCGGAAUUAUUGGGCGUAAAGAGCUCGUAGGCGGUCUGUCGCGUCUGCUGUGAAAACUCGGGGCUUAACCCCGGGCCUGCAGUGGGUACGGGCAGACUAGAGUGCGGUAGGGGAGACUGGAAUUCCUGGUGUAGCGGUGAAAUGCGCAGAUAUCAGGAGGAACACCGGUGGCGAAGGCGGAUCUCUGGGCCAUUACUGACGCUGAGGAGCGAAAGCGUGGGGAGCGAACAGG